UUAGUAAUGCGCUCGUGUCUGUGAACACGGCAGUAGAGGAGGGGAGGUCUCGCAUCAUGGAGCACCGGACGAGCGAGAGGGAAGGGACUGCACCAGGCGGGAAACUUGAGGCCGCGGGCGUCCGUCGUGAGGAGAUCGCGAAUUUGUUUU
rnacentral:SRP_RNA from 12 species